rnacentral:rRNA from 1 species
AACGAACGCUGGCGGCAUGCCUAACACAUGCAAGUCGAACGAGACCUUCGGGUCUAGUGGCGCACGGGUGCGUAACGCGUGGGAACCUGCCCUUAGGUUCGGAAUAACUCCCCGAAAGGGGUGCUAAUACCGGAUAAUGUCUUCGGACCAAAGAUUUAUCGCCUUUGGAUGGGCCCGCGUUGGAUUAGCUAGUUGGUAGGGUAAAAGCCUACCAAGGCGACGAUCCAUAGCUGGUCUGAGGGGAUGAUCAGCCACACUGGGACUGAGACACGGCCCAGACUCCUACGGGAAGCAGCAGUGGGGAAUAUUGGACAAUGGGCGAAAGCCUGAUCCAGCAAUGCCGCGUGAGUGAUGAAGGCCUUAGGGUUGUAAAGCUCUUUUACCCGGGAUGAUAAUGACAGUACCGGGAGAAUAAGCUCCGGCUAACUCCGUG